UACGGAGGGAGCUAGCGUUGUUCGGAAUUACUGGGCGUAAAGCGCGCGUAGGCGGCUUUGUAAGUUAGAGGUGAAAGCCCGGGGCUCAACCCCGGAACUGCCUUUAAGACUGCAUCGCUUGAAUCCAGGAGAGGUGAGUGGAAUUCCGAGUGUAGAGGUGAAAUUCGUAGAUAUUCGGAAGAACACCAGUGGCGAAGGCGGCUCACUGGACCGGUAUUGACGCUGAGGUGCGAAAGCGUGGGGAGCAAACAGG
rnacentral:rRNA from 1 species